AAAUUUGAACGGAUUUACAUCAAUUUAAACUUUAGAAAUUUUUAAAAAUCAAAGAUAUAUCAUAUUUAUUUGAAUUUAGCAAACUGACUAAUGUGAAUAUAUAUAGUCCGGAUCUUAAGCUGACCCUUUAUAUAGCUCACAUUGCUCACCUCCUUUGGCGACGAAUCGGGCGACGAUUCGGUCCGUCACUAUAUGUAGAAUCGUCGUCUUAACUUUUAACGACGGACAACAUAUAGUGACGAACCGAGCAGAUCUAAUUCUUAUUUUUUUUUAAUAACAUAACUCCGCAUAAUUUUAUUAAUGGUAGAUGAAAAUUGAUACAAGAAAAGCAACAAAUCCGAUGAUGAGCACCGGAAAAGAAGUGAGGAUGUUGCCAUGAGAUUCUUUGGGAGCCGAACCAGGGGACAUGUCCAUGCCUGGAGUGUGAUCGUGGCCACUCACCAUUACCAAACUCAUAAUCAACCCAUAACAAACCACAGAUGCAGCUGCUGCUGUUGCUUUUGAUGCUGAUGAAAACCCAAAUAUUGCCAUAUAUAAUUAAGAGCUUAAUUAAUAAAUUAAUUCUGGUGCCUUUUGGGUUUAAAGGCAAGUAAUCUACAAUGAGUUUAUAUAGACCAACUAGAUGUUUAUGGAGUAAUUAAUUGUAUUUUAUAUUUUGUCACCUGUACUA
rnacentral:lncRNA from 1 species